rnacentral:snRNA from 1 species
GUACUUACCUGGACGGGGUCAAUGGGCGAUCAAGAAGGCUCAUGGCCUAGACUUGUGACCUCCAUUGCACUUAGGAGGGGUGCUCGUCUAUGGUCUCCUCAUAGUAGGAGAGCCAACGUCAUAAUUUCUUACCAUGGGGGCUUGCGUUCGCGCAGCCCCUGC